rnacentral:rRNA from 1 species
UACGUAGGGUGCGAGCGUUGUCCGGAAUCACUGGGCGUAAAGGGUGCGUAGGCGGCGCGGUAAGUCGGGUGUGAAAUCUCGGAGCUUAACUCCGAAACUGCAUUCGAUACUGCCGUGCUUGAGGACUGGAGAGGAGACUGGAAUUUACGGUGUAGCGGUGAAAUGCGUAGAUAUCGUAAGGAAGACCAGUGGCGAAGGCGGGUCUCUGGACAGUUCCUGACGCUGAGGCACGAAGGUCAGGGGAGCAAACGGG